GAUGAACGCUGGCGGCGUGCCUAACACAUGCAAGUCGAGCGAACCCUUCGGGGUGAGCGGCGGACGGGUGAGUAACGCGUGGGUAACCUGCCCUAUACACACGGAUAACGUACCGAAAGGUACGCUAAUACGAGAUGAUAUAUUUUUAUCGCAUGGUAGAAAUAUCAAAGCUCCGGCGGUAUAGGAUGGACCCGCGUCUGAUUAGCUAGUUGGUAAGGUAAUGGCUUACCAAGGCGACGAUCAGUAGCCGACCUGAGAGGGUGAUCGGCCACAUUGGAACUGAGACACGGUCCAAACUCCUACGGGUGGCAG
rnacentral:rRNA from 1 species